UACGGGGGGGGGCAAGCGUUGUUCGGAAUUACUGGGCGUAAAGGGCUCGUAGGCGGCCAACUAAGUCAGACGUGAAAUCCCUCGGCGUUAACCGGGGAACUGCGUCUGAUACUGGAUGGCUUGAAUCCGGGAGAGGGAUGCGGAAUUCCAGGUGUAGCGGAUGAAAUGCGUAGAUAUCUGGAGGAACACCGGUGGCGAAGG
rnacentral:rRNA from 1 species